CCUACGGGGGGCAGCAGUGAGGAAUAUUGGUCAAUGGACGAGAGUCUGAACCAGCCAAGUAGCGUGAAGGAUGACUGCCCUAUGGGUUGUAAACUUCUUUUAUAUGGGAAUAAAACGUUCCACGUGUGGGAUUUUGUAUGUACCAUAUGAAUAAGGAUCGGCUAACUCUGUGCCAGCAGCCGCGGUAAUACGGAGGAUCCGAGCGUUAUCCGGAUUUAUUGGGUUUAAAGGGAGCGUAGGUGGAUUGUUAAGUCAGUUGUGAAAGUUUGCGGCUCAACCGUAAAAUUGCAGUUGAAACUGGCAGUCUUGAGUACAGUAGAGGUGGGCGGAAUUCGUGGUGUAGCGGUGAAAUGCUUAGAUAUCACGAAGAACUCCGAUUGCGAAGGCAGUUCACUGGACUGCAACUGACACUGAGGCUCGAAAGUGUGGGUAUCAAACAGGAUUAGAUACCCUUGUAGUC
rnacentral:rRNA from 1 species